GACGAACGCUGGCGGCGUGCCUAAUACAUGCAAGUCGAACGCAGUGGGGACGGGUGAGUAACACGUGGGUAACCUCCCAUCAGAGGGGAUAACACUUGGAAACAGGUGCUAAACCGAUACUGAUGGAUGGACCCGCGGUGCAGUACCUAGUUGGUGAGGUAACGGUUCACCAAGGCCACGAUGCAUAGCCGCCCUGAGAGGGUGAUCGGCCACACUGGAACUCAGACACGGCCAAGACUCCUACGGGAGGCAGCAGUGGGGAAUCUUCGGAAAUGGUCGAAAGCCUGACCGGGCAACGCCGCGUGAGUGAAGAAGGUGUUCGGAUCGUAAAUCUCUUUUGUUAGAGAAGCGGUAUCUAACCAGAAAGCCACGGCUAACUACGUGCCAGCAGCCGCGGUAAUUC
rnacentral:rRNA from 1 species